rnacentral:rRNA from 1 species
CCCUUAGAUGUUCUGGGCCGCACGCGCGCUACACUGAUGCAUUCAACGAGUUUCUUCCUGGUCCGAGAGGAAUGGGUAACCUUUUGAAAGUGCAUCGUGAUAGGGAUAGACUAUUGCAAUUAUUGGUCUUCAACGAGGAAUUCCUAGUAGACGUAGUUCAUCAGACUGCAUCGAUUACGUCCCUGCCCUUUGUACACACCGCCCGUCGCUCCUACCGAUUGAGUGUGUUGGUGAGGAGUUUGGAUUGGCCUCGGAAGGUGGUUCGCCACCGUCCGUAGCUGAGAAGUUCUCCAAACCGCCCCACUUAGAGGAAGGAGAAGUCGUAACA